UACGUAGGGUGCGAGCGUUGUCCGGAAUUAUUGGGCGUAAAGGGCUCGUAGGCGGUCUGUCGCGUCUGCUGUGAAAACUCGGGGCUUAACCCCGGGCCUGCAGUGGGUACGGGCAGACUAGAGUGCGGUAGGGGAGACUGGAAUUCCUGGUGUAGCGGUGAAAUGCGCAGAUAUCAGGAGGAACACCGGUGGCGAAGGCGGGUCUCUGGGACGGUACUGACGCUGAGACGCGAAAGCGUGGGGAGCGAACAGG
rnacentral:rRNA from 1 species